CCCUGCUGUUUUGUCACGCUGUUCCUCCUGUCAGCAGACAAAGCUGCCACAGAUACAGCCUGUAUAUGGAGACUGACACCUCUCGCUGGGGGACUUGGGUAAACACAACACGCACCUGUAUGAUUGACGCCGAGGCGCUUUUGCCUGGUUGCGUUGCCUCUGAGAACCAUGUGAGUGUGGCAGAAGUGUGCACUGUACAGACACCUACACUGUCAGGGGAAGAAGUUUGACUCAAAGAAUGUCUCACAGGGGAUCGUCAACUUCUUCUCGUGCUGCAGAGACGACAGUGACGAUGAUGAUGAGCUCCAGUAAUCCCCAUGAUGAGCUGAUCAUUGCUUCUCAGCAGAUCUCUGGGUGUACGUGUAAACAAAGGCCAGCUACAGUCUGAUGACUUCCUGUUCCCCAGUGUUUCCAGCUCCUCUGAUUACCCUACAGUGCCUCACCUGUGUCUUGUUAUCCUCACUCCCUUAGUGUAUUUAAGCCCAGCUUCUCUUCCCUCCUAAGCCAGUUUUGUCUUUUUCCCUGUAACAGCGUUCCGGCAUUCCUCAUUUUUCUGACCUGUAGUGUUGUGUUUUCAGACUGAGUUUUUGGAUACCUCUGCCUGUAUUUUUUGACUACCUAUAUACGGAACCUACAUUAAACAGACUUUCAACUUUG